UACGUAGGGGGCAAGCGUUGUCCGGAUUUAUUGGGCGUAAAGAGCGUGUAGGCGGCUUUACAGGUCCGUUGUGAAAACUCGAGGCUCAACCUCGAGACGCCGGUGGAAACCGUAAAGCUAGAGUCCGGAAGAGGAGAGUGGAAUUCCUGGUGUAGCGGUGAAAUGCGCAGAUAUCAGGAAGAACACCCGUGGCGAAGGCGGCUCUCUGGGGACGGUACUGACGCUGAGACGCGAAAGCGUGGGGAGCGAACAGG
rnacentral:rRNA from 1 species